rnacentral:rRNA from 1 species
UAAAAGUGAAAACUUUAAACUCUAAGGACUUGGCGGUGUCCCACCCAUACUAGAGGAGCCUGUCCUAUAAUCGACACCCCACGCUAUACCUCACCCCCCCUAGCCAACCAGCCUAUAUACCGCCGUCGCCAGCUCACGCUGUGAACCCACAACCGUAAGCAUAAUCAUCACCCAUUAAAACGACAGGUCAAGGUGUAGUUAAUGGGGGGGGCAGUGAUGGGCUACAUUUUCUUCACUAGAAAAUACCACCCGCACCAUGAAACCUUUGCCCAAAGAC